UGGUAAAGCCUUCAGAUGUUGCAAUUCCCUUCGAUAUCAUGAAAGGACUCACACUGGAGAGAAACCCUAUGAAUGUAAGCAGUGUGGGAAAGCCUUCAGAUCUGCCUCACACCUUCGAAUGCAUGGUAGGACUCACACUGGAGAGAAACCCUAUGAGUGUAAGCAAUGUGGCAAAGCCUUCAGUUGUGCCUCAAACCUUCGAAAGCAUGGUAGGACUCACACUGGAGAGAAACCCUAUGAGUGUAAGCAAUGUGGGAAAGCCUUCAGAUCUGCCUCAAACCUUCAGAUGCAUGAAAGAACUCACACUGGAGAGAAACCCUAUGAAUGUAAGGAAUGUGAAAAAGCAUUCUGUAAAUUCUCUUCUUUUCAAAAACAUGAAAGGAAGCACAGAGGAGAAAAGCCCUAUGAAUGUAAGCAUUGUGGGAAUGGAUUCACGUCUGCCAAGAUCCUUCAAGUACAUGCAAGAACACACAUUGGAGAGAAACACUAUGAAUGUAAGGAAUGCGGAAAAGCAUUCAAUUAUUUUUCUUCCUUGCAUAUACAUGCAAGGACUCAUAUGGGAGAGAAGCCAUAUGAAUGUAAGGGUUGUGGGAAAGCAUUCAGCUAGCCUGGUUCCUUCUAUGGACGUGAAUAGACUCACACUGGAAGGAAAUGCUAUGAAUGCAAGCAAUGUGGCAAAACUUUCACAUGUUCCAGUUCUUUUCGAUACCAUGAAAUGAUUCACACUGGGGAGAAACCCUAUCAAUGUAAGCAAUGUGGGAAAGCCUUCAUUUCUUUUACUUCUUUUCAACAUCAUGAAAGGACUCACAUGGGAGAGAAACCCUAUGAGUGUAUAUGAUGUGGGAAAGCAUUUCUUCUAGUUCCCUUCAAUAUCGGGAAAGGACUUACACUGGAGUGAAGCCCUAUGAAUGUAAGCAAUGUGGGAAAGCCUUCAGAUCAGCCUCACACCUUCAACAGCAUGGAAAGAUUCACACUUGGGAGAAACCCUAUGAAUGUAAGCAGUGUGGGAAAGCCUUCAGAUCUGCCAAGAUUCUUUGAAUACAGAUUAAUGAAUGUAAACAAUUAACUUUAUCAUAACUGUAUACUAACAUGUUAUUUUUAAAUAAUUAAGAAGCUAUAAUAAAAUAUCCUAUUGGUUUUAUGUAUUAGA